AGGAAGCUCCCAUGGAGGAGUGAGGUUCCCUAUGACUUUCCCAGUUUAAAUAUGGGUUCUUUUAGUAUCCUGGCUCUAGGGUUCAUGUUCGUUUCUUAUCUCUGGCUUCAAUAAACUGAGUUCUCUUGAAGACUUUCAGAGCUGCUGUAUGAUUAGGGGUUGCUUCUUGUGGCUUUUACCACGAUGAAGACCUUCCCUACAAGUUUUCUAAGGCAUAAAUUACACUUGCCCAGAUUGUCGAAAAGGCCUUAUUCUGAUGCUUAUUUUCUCCUCUAGAGCACAAGGUCUACACCAUCCAGCAGCACAUCGAGCUCACGCCCAGCAUCUCUGGGGUACAGUGGAGCAGCUGGCACUCCAGAGAGCAGCUCUCACACUCCUACCCCUGGGACCCAGGGCCACUCUUCAGGCACCUCUCCAAUGUCCACUAGUGUCCAGUCAGGUACUCCUAUUACUAAUGAUCUCUUCAGUCAGGCCCUCCAGCAUGCCCUGCAGGCCUCAGGUCAGCCAAACCUUCAGAGCCAGUGGCAGCCCCAGCUACAGCAACUCAUCUUUGCUGGAGGGGCUCCUUGACUCCUUUCAGAGGCAGCAUUGCAUGGGCCAGUUGGGAUGCUAUAAAGAUAAGAUGUCUGUAAAGGUCCCGGGACCAACUAUUUCCCCAAUACACUUUAUGUGGAAACUGCUUGUAUGUUGUGAAGCCUCCCUAGUCAGAGUUGGCGGAAUGUGACAUUAAGCAGCAGGUAAUGUCUGAUCAUGCCACCUGGAUAGAAAAUGGGACCCUGGCAUUGGUUCUAGAGAGUUUGGGGACUUGAGCCCUACAGCAUCAUGGUCUAGUUCUGUGGAACUGGGGAGUUGAGCUCUACAGGCCCUGAUCUCUGUUUAUGUGGAGGGGAUUACCCCAGAGAUGUUGGGGGCUCAAGUAUCUCUCCCUAAGAAGAGAAGCCCUGGGCCCUACCAUAGGGGUGUGGAAUAAGGAAAGAUUCCCCUCACUUUCUAGAGAAUGUUGUGGGUUUUUUAAAGUUCUGUAACUACUUGGAAAUCCCAUAAUCAGGAGUUCCCAGUUCAACCUACGAAGUUAGCACAAGAUCACAACUUCAUGGUAUUCUAGUUUAAUUUGUGAGUUACUCAUUGGACUUCUGGGAAAGAAGAUUGGAGCAGGAUCUCCCCAGAACUCCCUUUCUCACAAAGGGCUCAGAUUUGGCAGCCCUUCAUUGCUCUUAGUACUUUCCUCCUUCCUAUGACCUACCCCCCUCUGGAUCCUUUUGGAGCCCACCCUGAGGCAUAAGCAUGAGAGCACUAGACUUGGAGUCAGAAGACAGAAUCACAGAACCUGCAUUUGAACCUGGAGUUCAGCUGUAUGACCUUGGGCAAGUGGUGUCAACUCUGAACCUGAAUCAUCUCAUCUAUAAAACAGAGCCCAUAAUCCCUAUAGUAUUUUCCUCACAGGGUUGUCAAGCUCAGUGUAAGUAGUUAUGAUCAUUAAUAAUAAGGGUAGCUAGCUCUUUGGAAGGAGUGACCCAGCAGCCAGUAAGCCCUUGGGAUAGCGAAUGCCAACUGGAUAUCCUUUGGCAAUCCUUUUACUCAAGGAACGUCCAGUCUAGACAGGAAGGCAGACACAAUCAUGGAGAGUGCUAAUAAAUGAUAAUCAAAUAGAGGAACCCA
rnacentral:lncRNA from 1 species